UAAAAAAUUCCACUGCUGCCAUGUGAACAUCUUUUGCAAGUCUGCACUCAACUGCUGACACCAUGAAUGAAGAGCCUCACUCAUCCCACAGGUUGGGAAUGACUGAAGUGAAGAAAGCUCUAAAAAAGGGAAUGAGAAGAACCCAUUGACUGGGAUUUUAAUUUGCCUCCCCCAGAAAAUUUGGCUCGCGAAUGCAUCUGCAUAUAUUUGCUCCUUUCUCUCUUUUUUUCUUCACUUCUAAAAAUAAAGAUUUCUUGCCAAACCAUACGAAAGAAAUUUAGCUAGUGCAAAGAGGUUUUUCAAAAGAUUCCUUUCUCUGAAUUAAUUAAAAUGAGAUGGGAUUGCAGACGUUUUUUCAUCUGUGAGCAGGAACCUAAACGGUAGUAUAGAUUGAUGUCUUUCAGCAUACACAACAGCACACCCAGUUUACUCAUGCAUUUUCCACAGAGGCUUCUCCUUGAAAACUCAUAGGUUAAAUCCAGGCAUGGAACUGCUUGUACAUGAAGACUUUAAAAUCCAGCACAAGUUCAAAAUCCCGGAACCCAGACAACUGUGAAAUCACUAUGAAACUACAAUGAAGGAACACCUCCACCACUAUAUAUCUCCACUUAACUAAGAUAAUUUUAUUAUGAGAGGCUGUAGUAUUGACAUACCUUGUGCUUGCCUCUUACUCCUACCCACUUCUCUGGAUUUAUACAUGCUUUCUUUUACAGUUGUAUUCAUAUCACAUAUUUCACAUAUUUUUCAUCCUGUCAAAGUUGAAAUAUGGAACUCAAAAAAUAAUGGGGAGAAAAGAACAAAAUGGCUUCAUUUCUUUUGCUUGUGAAUCAUUUAAAAAAAAAAAAGAGAGAGAAAAAAUAAUCCUCUCAACUUCAUAAUUCUACAAAAAGAAGUGUGAAUGCCAGAUUUGUGUGGGAUGAAGGUAAAUUUAGGACUGUAAGUCAGGCUAAAAGGGAUCACUCUUGUAACAAAGACAAUUUAUAGUGCAAGAUAAGCUACAAGAAUUAUCUAUAGACCAGUGACAAAAAUAAGUACCAGCCAUUUUCUUUGCAAAUACGAUUCUUCAGCCCUAGUUUUGGGAGCUAACAUGGUACUACAGCAGCAUCUUAAAAAAUCUUUUCCUCAAGCUCAGAUAAUAGACAUAUUCAAAUUCAGGUUCUAAAAAGAAAAAAAAAA